GUUACUCUGCUUGAAAAAGCCGCCAUUUGCCACCUACCCUUCGGGAUUAGUUCUUCGAAGUUCAAACUCGUGUUUGGUGUGUUGUGUAUAGUGAUUGCGUCGUUUGACUUCGCGUAUUCGACUCUAUUUUUGUUUGAUUCCGAUUCCCGUCUAGCCAUUCUGAUUUGUUUGCUUAUUAGAUCUCGUGUAUGACCACUGAAUCAUUCCCUUCGACUCCGACUCUUUCCUUUGCUCUUCUAGUUUUUUAGCCCGUGAUUUUGUGUUUCUGACCAUUCGCAAAAUCAGUAACACAGAACUGAGGGCUCGUCGUCUACUAUGGCUAGGUUUGAUUAGGAAGAUGUUACUAUUUGUCAGACUGUGGAACAGUCUGGUCGUUGCCGAAAGGACGAUCUGCUACUUAUAGCAGAUUUAUUUAGUGUGACUGUGCCUAGGAAUAAAACUAAACGGGAAAUAAACAAUUGGUAGCUCAGAAAAUCCGACCUGACGAAGAGGAGUUCAUGGGUGUUGCAGCUGAAUUGGAACCACUGCAGACUCCGGCUACGGCGUAGGCUGAAGCCGUGUCUGACGUAUCUCCGUGCAUAUUAUCCCGGCGUUUCACGCUCAUUUCUAGCUAACCCCGUGCUCGCUCUGUGUUUUAAAAGAACUUUAAAAGAGCUAAGCGGGCAAGAGUGUCAGAGCCAGUUGCUGCAGGUCCGAGCGUUUGAGCUUGAUUCUGACCGUCAGGUCAAGUCAAAGGAACUGGAGCUGCGAGCGAAGGAAGGGAGGCCUACUCCAAUGCCACGGAAAUCCCUGCUUUGUUCGCCCGUUGUCCCCUGUGCCUGUCAGUGCAUCGCCUCCCGCGCCAGCUCAAGAGGCUUCGGAAGGCACCGCUUUCACAUGCAGUAUGGGAACCAGCUGUCAUACAGGUUUGCUUGUUUUAAUGGGGAGAGCUUUGUCAUCUCAAGCAUCACUGCGUUAUCUUUGCUGAGCAAAGAUUUUGUAGUAACGACGGAAUUCUCCUGCUCGGGUUGGGUCCACUUCACUACCCCACCCCACACACUUAGACGUGAUGAUGAAGAUCAGCUGGUACAGUAACCAGGGCUGUAAAGAGGCAAUUUGCUAUCCUGAUAGUGACUCAUUUCACAUCGCUCCAUCCCCGCCCGGCUGCCCCCAAGAUGAAUUUAUCCUGUACUCGGCGUGGCAAACGUCAUCUUUUCAGUCCGUCCACUCUCGCUGCGAUGUGCCACACAAAACCUGCCCAUCAGAAUUCUCUGCUCUCCGUGGUCCCUACCAGAGCAUCGUUCUGACUCACGACCACUACCACUGAACAUGGCACUCCUGCAUGAGUUAAGAUGGAAGGAAUUCAGAAGGACCUUAUGGAACCUUAACUUGAAAUCCCACUAUACCUCUCGUUUGCAGAAUGUUUGCUUGGAAAGGAUUUGCUCAGCAUGGUGUAAAAGCCUCCUCAAUUCGGCCUACCUUGCACUAGCUGAGGUUGGCUGUGCAGUCACUGUGCUGGGAGACAACAGAACUGAUGCAGGUGGUGUAGGCAGGCUGGAGAGAGUUUUCUCCAAACAAUUGUCAACUUUCUUGAGUGGGAAUAUCCAAAUCAAAAAUAUUUCCAUCUGGUUUACACACAAAUCACAGUACUGAAAUUAGAUUUUUAAAUUUGUUUUUAAAGCACUACUGAGGCUUGCCCCUGUGUACAUUUACGGCCUAUUGACCAAAAUGGGCCAUCAGAACUUGAGAAAAGGUGUCCUACAAAAGUGAAAAACAAAGGAUGAUGUAGCCUUCUCUGUCCAGUUCUCCAAAUUAUGGAAUUAUUUACCAGAAAGUAUCAGGAUCUUGCAAUCAGUCUUUACUUUAACAUUUUUUAUUCUGUUGUUACUUUCCGAUUUUUCUUUCAUCCAUCUUUUACCCUAUAGGAUUGACUUAAUCUAAAUUGUGUUCCUUAAUGUAAGUGAUUCGUUGUAAGCUCAGGUAUUUAAACAUUAUACAACACUUAAUGCAUUGGUUCUGCACAAAUACAGUACCCUUCCCCCAAUACACAUCUGUCAACACAAACUUAAAAUACAAUUACUCUUAGAGUGAACAACAAAUGUCCUGCUUGAAUGAGGAGAGGUGGUCCCUGUGCAGCUUUCCUUUAUGUUUUAUGGCAAAUCCCCCUUGCACACAAAAUCUCAAUCUGAAUGUGGCAUUCCUGGUCAAAUAAAGGUAAAAUAAAAAAAUCUACCAUAGCGGACUGCAUCGGUCUAUGAACAGAUACUCCCUUUGACCACUGAAACCCCAUAUUACACUGUGAUAGUGCUUCACCCAGUACAUUCAGCGUAGUUUAUACACAGCAAUUGGCUUUAUGGACGAAUGCUGUAGGCAGUAAGCAUUAACAUAAUCACAGAAUGGCUGUGUUAACCGUGCUGUACAGACCUGCUUGAUUCAGUACUAAGCAGGUUUCUUGUAGUUCAUUUAACAAGCAAAUGGUUUUGGAUAGUACUUAAUGUAAACUAGGUUGGGGUAUUAACUCAUCUGUGCUGUUAUUUGUGUUAUUAGUUUUCUGUUGCCUGCUUUGCAAAAUUUCAGUUAUAUUGUGUUCUGUAAAGUGAACAGAUUCAAAAGGGCAAAACAGUUAUAUGGUAAUGACUGAAUGGAGUAGCUCACUUUGAGACAUGUUCCUUCAGAAUUUCACAUGAAUAAUACAUUUGUUUGUUUCCUGUCAUGGUUCUGAUUCAUUCCAUGUCCACUCGUGUAGUUUGGGCCAUGGUCUUUUCCUUCAAAGUGCUGCUUUUCUGUUUUGUGAUUAUGGCAUUAGAGGGAACAUUUCGCACAACAUCAAAGAUGCGGUGUGCUCUAUGUGAUUCAGGCUGCGUUGAGUGAAUAUUACCAUUUU